GUGGGGAAUAUUGGACAAUGGGCGAAAGCCUGAUCCAGCCAUGCCGCGUGUGUGAAGAAGGUCUUCGGAUUGUAAAGCACUUUAAGUUGGGAGGAAGGGCAGUAAGUUAAUACCUUGCUGUUUUGACGUUACCGACAGAAUAAGCACCGGCUAACUUCGUGCCAGCAGCCGCGGUAAUACGAAGGGUGCAAGGGUUAAUCGGAAUUACUGGGCGUAAAGCGCGCGUAGGUGGUUUUGUAAGUUGGAGGUGAAAUCCCCGGGCUCAACCUGGGAACUGCCUCCAAAACUGCAUGACUAGAGUACGGUAGAGGGUAGUGGAAUUUCCUGUGUAGCGGUGAAAUGCGUAGAUAUAGGAAGGAACACCAGUGGCGAAGGCGACUACCUGGACUGAUACUGACACUGAGGUGCGAAAGCGUGGGGAGCAAACAGGAUUAGAAACCCUUGUAGUCC
rnacentral:rRNA from 1 species